UAAUUAAAUAUAAAUACAUUUAAAAUCGGAACUUAAAUUUAUAAUUAUUAAUAAAAAUCUCAAUUUUCCAGAUCAGCGAAUUGACUAUCGCAGUGAACGAUCUUCGUGGAAAAUUCGUGAAACCGCCUCUGAAAAAAGUUUCCAAAUUCGAUACCAACAAGCUUAUGGCCUUCACUAAGAAAUUAGCAGUUGACUUCAGAGCUAACCUGAAACAAUCCACUGCUAAGAAAUUCACAGUGGAUGACGAUGCUAAAGAGACGAAAAAGGAGGAGAAACCACAAUGGGCCAAAUGAAGUCUCUACAGAGCUACCCAUGCUCUUCCUAUAUUGGUGAUUGUUGUAACUAAAGACGUUGUUCGUUGUAUACUUGUUGAUAAAAUGUCACACAAAUACACAAAACAUAAAAAAACACGUUUUUCUGAUUUAUGGACAGUGAAAAAAUAAAAUUUGUUUAUUACAAUAUUCUAAAAACACUUCAAAAUAUUAUUUUUCAGCAUUCUAUUUGUAUGAUUUUGAGAACGACGGAUGUUCUAGAUCAUAUUAGAAAAUAUUGAUUUGUAACAUCCUUUCAUAAUAACCUAAUAAAAAUAAAUUCGUGUCCCUUA